AGGACCAAGCUUUCAGCUCCUAUUACAGCAACUUCAAGAAUGUGGUGCUUUGAUUGGUCUCAUCUGUUCUGCCUAUUGGAAGAAACAGCUUUAUCAUAGGAGCAAUGGACAAAACAAUCAUGUCUCUGCUAAACUGAAGCUGUAGCCCUGUGAUAUCCCAGAGAGAGGACUCUGUCACCUGGGACUUGCUUCCAACAUUCCUGCUGGAUUCCUUUCCAUGGAAAUUGUGUAGAGGAUCUUUUAUGGAGUCAGAAGACUGAUUCAAGCUGUGGACCUGAGGAGACUUUCAGGGGGCAGCCAAAAGCAGGGGGAGAAGCCUCCGUGGAGCUGGACCUCUGUACUCGUUAUGAGCUGGUUAGCAAGCACCUGCUAUUCACCAGCUUAGGAAACAAUUGGAAAUUCAAGAGCACAGAGGAAUCAUCAUCCUUCCUCUUUUCCUGAGGCACAU
rnacentral:lncRNA from 1 species